CGGGAUGUAGCGCAGCUUGGUAGCGCACCUGCAUGGGGUGCAGGGGGUCGGAGGUUCGAAUCCUCUCAUCCCGACCA
rnacentral:tRNA from 1 species